AGCAGCCGCGGUAAUUCCAGCUCCAAUAGCGUAUAUUAAAGUUGUUGCAGUUAAAAAGCUCGUAGUUGAAUUUCGGGGUUAGUAGGUUGGUCAUGCCUCUGGUAUGUACUGGUCUCACUGAUUCCUCCUUCCUGAUGAACCUUAAUGCCAUUAAUUUGGUGUUUUGGGGAAUUUGGACUGUUACUUUGAAAAAUUAGAGUGUUUAAAGCAAGCUAACGCUUGAAUACAUUAGCAUGGAAUAAUGAAAUAGGACGUUCGAUCCUAUUUUGUUGGUUUCUAGGAUUGACGUAAUGAUUAAUAGGGAUAGUUGGGGGCAUUAGUAUUCAAUUGUCAGAGGUGAAAUUCUUGGAUUUAUUGAAGACUAACUACUGCGAAAAGCAUUUGCCAAGGAUGUUUUCAUUAAUCAAGAACGAAAGUUAGGGGAUCGAAGACGAUCAGAUACCGUCGUAG
rnacentral:rRNA from 1 species